UUUAUUGUAUAUUAUUUUUGAUAGGGCCGCGGUAGUACUAAAUCCAAAGAUCACACCGAUAUGGUUUUCCAAAAACUCGAUAUCAAUCAAGAUGGAGUGAUUACGUUUGAAGAAUUUAUCGAAUCAUGUUUAAAGGACGAGGCAAUCACGAAAUCAUUACAAAUUUUCGACUCCAGGUCCCUAUGAUUGUCGCUAUCCUCCACCGACUCUGUGGAAGUAUCACUUCUGUCAUUUGAUCAGUCUGCUGGUCAGUCGGAGGAGGAGCAAUGCAGCCAACUACGACAAGCAGACAACGAGUCUUCCCAAAACAAUAUUUUCUUUGAUUUCUAAUGUAAAUAAUAAUCAAAUAUUAUUAUAAUGACCGUUUUGGUUAAUAUUCGGGAAUAUUCCUUCCGAAUGUAUUUGGCCGUUACACUUUUAUACGGAUGUGUGAUAAUCGGUUCAUUUUUGUUCUAUUAAAAGUGGCAUCCAUUUGGCGCCAUUAUUGCUCGGUCCGUCCUAUAUAUUGUUACCGUGUUUAACGUAGGUACAUUAUACUACAUACCAAACAUUCAUGUCUCGAUCUUUGUAGAUUUAUUAUAAUAAUUGUUUACUGUUGGUGACUACUAACAAUUGUUGGUCUGUUUUUGUUAUCACAUAGUAGGUAGGUAACUCAAAAAUAUUGAGAACCAUAAUAUUAUAUUUGGCGAAGACUAAACAUUAUUGU